rnacentral:tRNA from 1 species
GGCCUUGUAGCCAUGGAUAAGGCGUUGGACUUCGGAUCCGAAGAUUGCAGGUUCGAGUCCUGCCAGGGUCG